GUUUUGUGGUUCGAGGACCCGACCCCCGCGAUGUGAAAUAAAUACACAAGGACACGUGAUAUAAGGUUAAUGGGCAAGAAAAGGCCACAACUUUAUUGAUUACAGCAGUGAAAAGGUAUUGGCUUAGGCAUUGGAUGUCUAAAACAAGGGGGGUUUAUUCACCAGUAGGUGGAGCCUGUUGAUGCUAAUCCAACUAUAGGCUCUCUCCUGAUGUCACCGGGGGUCGUGCCAUGGCCUCCCGCCAAGCAGGCAUCGGACAGAGUACACGACCGCCAGAUUCCUUUAACGGAAUACCCAAAAAUUGAAGGCAUAGGCGAUGGCCACACCCAGCCCUUCGACACACCACAACACAUUAUUCCAAUGCCUAACCUACCCACCAAUACCACAAAAAGUUGUGACGAUUGCUACGAGGUAGGCGAACACCCCAAACCGCCUAAUGCCAAAUGGAAAAAUUCCUACCAGGCCCCCUAGACAACCAGGGCGACCAACCUAAGGUCCAUAGCAAGGCCAAAGAACAAAGACCCUGAGCUAAAAGGGAGUGGAGGAUGGGUGACUCGCAACGAGAGGACGGAGAAGAAUGAGGCCGAGGACAGGCUGGCGCCGCCGCAAAAGGCUGCUGAACACGCCCCCUCGAAGGCACCUGGUUGGAUGCCUGCCGAGGGGGCGUGGGCGCCAGCCAGGUGAGAGGAGGAAGCAGGGGGCCAAUGCCCCUGCUAGGGCGGUGCUCGGGCUCCCGCCCACAACCACUCCCUCUCUUCCAGGGAGGAGAGUCUUUGUGGUUCGAGGACCCGACCCCGCGAUGUGAAAUAAAUACACAAGGACACGUGAUAUAAGGUUAAUGGGCAAGAAAAGGCCACAACUUUAUUGAUUACAGCAGUGAAAAGGUAUUGGCUUAGGCAUUGGAUGUCUAAAACAAGGGGGUUAUUCACCAGUAGGUGGAGCCUGUUGAUGCUAAUCCAACUAUAGGCUCUCCCCUGAUGUCACCGAGGGUCGUGCCAUGGCCUCCCGCCAAGCAGGCAUCGGACAGAGUACACGACCGCCAGAUUCCUUUAACGGAAUACCCAAAAAUUGAAGGCAUAGGCGAUGGCCACACCCAGCCCUUCGACACACCACAACACAUUAUUCCAAUGCCUAACCGCCACCCGAGCCAAUAAGGCUCGCCGCCAAUACCCUCACGGCUGUAACCAAUCCCUAAUGCUGCUGAUGACACUAUCUAGCCAAAUGUCGUUCC